UUUAAAUGUGUAUUUUUUAUGUUAUUUAUUUCUCACAUAUCUUUUUGCAGGUAUUACCAUUGAUGGUUUUCAUCUCCUCCUCUAAAAUGUAUUUUCUUCCAUGGUUGUUAUCUCCUCCUCCAAAAGAUGUACUUUUUCCAAGAUUUUAUUUGAGGCAUCAAGAUUAUGAAAAAUCAAACACAGUCAAAUAAAUUCCUUUGUAAUAUUUUCUCAUAAUAAAAUAUUCAUUUUUUAAUAAUUUUGGAUGCAUAAUCAAUAAAAAUUGUAUUCACUUUUAGUUUU